rnacentral:rRNA from 1 species
AGAGUUUGAUCCUGGCUCAGGACGAACGCUGGCGGCGUGCUUAACACAUGCAAGUCGAGCGAUGAAACUACUUCGGUAGUGAAUUAGCGGCGAACGGGUGAGGAACACGUGAGGAAUCUGCCUUCUACACUGGGAUAACUCCGGGAAACCGGGGCUAAUACCGGAUAUGAAACUUGGUGGCAUCACCGAGUUUGGAAAGUUUUUCGGUAGAAGAUGACCUCGCGGCCUAUCAGCUUGUUGGUGGGGUAAUGGCUCACCAAGGCGACGACGGGUAGCCGGCCUGAGAGGGCGACCGGCCACACUGGGACUGAGACACGGCCCAGACUCCUACGGGAGGCAGCAGUGGGGAAUAUUGGGCAAUGGAGGAAACUCUGACCCAGCGACGCCGCGUGCGGGAUGAAGGCCUUCGGGUUGUAAACCGCUUUCAGUAGGGAAGAAGCGAAAGUGACGGUACCUACAGAAGAAGCACCGGCUAACUAUGUGCCAGCAGCCGCGGUAAUACAUAGGGUGCAAGCGUUGUCCGGAAUUAUUGGGCGUAAAGAGCUCGUAGGUGGUUCGUUACGUCGGAUGUGAAAAUCUGGGGCUCAACCCCAGACCUGCAUCCGAUACGGUCGAGCUAGAGUUUGGUAGGGGAGACUGGAAUUCCUGGUGUAGCGGUGGAAUGCGCAGAUAUCAGGAGGAACACCAAUGGCGAAGGCAGGUCUCUGGGCCAAUACUGACACUGAGGAGCGAAAGCGUGGGGAGCGAACAGGAUUAGAUACCCUGGUAGUCCACGCCGUAAACGGUGGGCGCUAGUUGUG